AUGCAAGUGAAUGAGCCUACAAGCAAUGUGGAAAGCACGCUGAUCUCCCCGAACAAGAUGGCCAGUCUGCUGAGAGCUGGAUUUGAGCCGAUAAUAGUCCAACAUUUUGGGUCGUCUGGGGAGAUCAUGGAUGAAUUUGUGAGGACUGCGGAACGACGCUGGAGCCGGCAGGGCAGCUUGGAAGAGGAGCUGGCCGGAAACCCGAGGGUUAUUUUAGUUGUGUCGCUAAAAAAGAAGGUAUAA
rnacentral:rRNA from 1 species